rnacentral:lncRNA from 1 species
GUGAAAAUCAAGAGCAAACAGUGAGGAAAGACAAGUCUUGUCAGUCUGGAGAAUGAGUUGGUUGAACCACCAGGCCCCGGAUCUAUGGCAGCGGAAGCAACAUUGGAAUUGUGUCUUGCUGCGUGCUAGCUGCACUCCAUGGUGGACAAGUUUAAAGGGUGUGAAGUCUUUCCACCACGGAGGCUGUGUGCCAAACAGGCAUUUCCCUGUUGCGGAGGAAUUCCCAGAUGGACCAAGAUGGGGACUGGGUCUUUGGGCCAAGGCAUGUGAUGAAGAGUGACUUGAGUGAGAAGGUCCCAUCUGGGCUGCUGAGCUACACUGACUGCAUGGUCCUGCUCCAGCAUUCAGAGCAGCAGGAAGCCCAGCCACUGUGCAGACAGAUGAGAAAAAGGUAAGUCAGGCACCUACAGUGAGUUUGCUUCAGCUGACAAAUAAAUCCAAACUGUUUCUCUCAGUAAGUAUUGGGCUAAAUAAAGACUGCUGGAAUUUAACUUUAUUUGAAAAACAUGAGACAAAGCAAAGUGUGAAGUAAUGGUUUCCCAUUCCUUCACUUUGCCAUCACAUAGUUUGUAUAGCCUGGGCAGAGAUGUCCAAUUUAGGGGAAAGGUUGCAUUGCUGGUAAUGAGUAUACACCACUUACAUCUUUUGGCUGUGGUCCUUCAGUAUGUCUUGUGUGUCAUGGGACCUGAUUAUUAUGGAGACUCUGCUGCUCCUAUGGGGAAGAACACAUGUUUCAAUUCAAUGUGAUCAAUACUGCAGAGAU